GAUUCAAUAACGUUUUACAAAAAUGGAGUUGUCAUCGCAAAGCACUGGGAUUUCAAACGAUUCAACGACCAAGGGUUUUGAUUUAUCGUCUGGAAAUACUUGGAUAUAUCCGGAAAAUUAUCCAGUCCGCGAGUACCAAUUUAACAUUGUCAAAUCUGUUUUAUAUCGAAAUACUUUAGUCUGUUUACCCACUGGUUUGGGAAAGACUUUUAUCGCUGCUGUUGUGAUGUACAAUUUCUGGAGGUGGUAUCCAUAUGGGAAAAUUGUGUUCUUGGCACCAACAAAACCUCUGGUUGCACAACAAAUUGAUGCAUGUUAUGAAGUAAUGGGUAUUCCAAGUAUCGAUAUGAUGGAACUUACAGGUGCAAUUAAUCAGAAGAAUCGUGAAAUAGCUUGGUCAAAGAAGAGAAUAAUAUUUGCCACUCCUCAAGUAUUUCAUAAUGAUCUUGAGAGAUCAAUUGUACCUAGUCAUUUAGUUAAAUGUGUUGUUGUGGAUGAAGCUCAUAAGGCUUUGGGCAAACAUUCAUAUUGUGAGUGUAUUAGAAUAUUAUCCACACAGAAUCAAUAUUUUAGGAUAUUAGCUCUUUCUGCUACACCAGGAAAUAAAUUGGAUAAUGUUCAUGAGGUAAUACAAAAUUUACAUAUCUCUCAUUUGGAGUUGAGAGAAGAGAACUCAAUCGAUAUAAUGCCGUAUAUUAAUAAGAGAAAAGUAGAUAUUAUAUUGGUGCCUCUUAGUAAUGAAUUAGCUACAUUUAAAGAGAAAUAUGUUGUUAUUAUGGAUCGCCAUGUUAGAUUUCUUAUGCAAUAUAAUAUAUUGCGAGGAUAUACUGCAAACAUAUCUAAAGGAAGGAUAUUUCACUUAUUAAAAGAAUUCAAAACAAAGACUGACAAAUCGGGAAAUUAUGCACAAAUUAUGAAGACUUUGAAUAUAUUAUUAACCAUGUAUCAUGCUUACGAACUUAUGAUCAGACAUGGAUUACGUGCCUUCUGUAAAUUUUAUCGAACUCAUUCUGAUAAGUUUUGGAUGAACAGUGAAAAUCAUUUGCAAGAUUUACUCCAUGAAAUAGAAACUUAUCUUGGACCAUUUCCAAACAUACAUCCUAAUGGAGAUGUAUCUGAGAUACCAGCUGAUCUUAUAUUUGGACAUAACAAAUUUCACAAAUUGAAAGAAUUACUUGAAAAUCACUUUAAAACCAACAGCAGCAAUCAGAAGGAUACAAGAGCUAUAGUUUUUGUCGAAUAUAGAGACAUAGUCAAUGAAGUCUAUAUUUUACUCUUGCAAUCAAAACCAGUAAUCAGACCACAAAUGUUUGUUGGUCAAGCUAGUCAAAAACAGAAGCAACAAAUAAAAGCGUUGGAGGAUUUUCGAAACAAUCAUGUGAACGUCUUGAUUUCGACAAGUAUAGGUGAAGAAGGGCUGGAUGUAGGAGAAGUAGAUCUAAUAAUAUGUUUUGAUGUAUCACAGCAUUCCCCAAUAAGGUUAGUACAAAGAAUGGGUAGAACAGGACGCAAACGAGAUGGUCAUAUAAUUGUUCUUGUUACAGAUGGAAAGGAGCAUGAGAAUUUGAAGUCUACGCUUUCAAGAAGGGAUUCUUUGAACAAUAAAAUAUUGAACACAAGUAACAUAUUUCCUUCUAUGUAUGAGAAUAAUCCUAGGAUGAUACCAAAACAAUUUAUUCCAGAAUGUCAUAAGAUUCAUAUUGUUGCAUUGCCGAAGACACCUAAUGUAAAGGGUAGAAAGAAAAAGAAAAUUAUCAACAAAAAGAAUGAAGCGUCUAGUACAAAACAGACAGAAAAUUCACCUUCUAAAAAAGAUGCAGGUCAACCGUCGAUGAUAAAGUUUCUUACUAAUAGUAAAUGCAAAGACCAGAACCGAAAUAAUACUCCAGCAAAAUACUCCAAAUGUGAUAUUUUUACUCAAUUGAUAACGCAAAGUAAUACGCAUUUACGUAAUACGAUAAAUCCCAACAAUGUUAAAUUGUUAUCUGACGAUAAUGCGGGAAUUGAUUUUUUAACAUUAUGCGCAGUAAAAAAAUCGGAGGAAGAAAUGUCUUGCGAGACUGUGUGUAAAAUGGAUACGACUUACGUGCCUCAGCGGAAACCAAUUAAAGAUUUGUACAAUUUUAUAGUACCUGACAUAGAAGUUAUCGAUAACUUGUCUUUCCUAACGAAAUUCACAGAUAUUUUACAAGUGCAAAAUACAAAUUUUGAAGAUGAUAUACAAAUUAUUGAAGAUGAUGCAACGCGAUGUGAAAAUGGGAAUGACAAAAGUGUUAAUAACAAUGAUUAUGUUAAUAUCAAUGAUGAUAGUUUUUGGUGCACUAUACAAAAUAGGAGAAAUAUCGACAACGACGAAAUAAGAUUUGAAGAUAUACUUGAUGAAAGUUCUGACUCGAAUAAAACAGAAAUUUUACAUUUAAAUAAAAAAAUUGCAGAUACCGAGAUAAAUCCAAUUGAGGUAGAUGAAUGUUUUGCGUCUAAUAUGGGAGAUGAUAAUGCAAUUAUGACCGAUACAAGAACAAAAUUAUCAAUUGAUACACUACAUUUGGAACCUAGUAUAUUUGAAAACAUAUUAAAUGAAUCAUUUAGUUCAAUCGAGGACAUUUUUGAAGAUAAAGAUAAGACAAUUAGAAAUACAAUAUCUCCGGAUUUUUCAAAUGUCUUUGCUAAAAAUGAAGAGAGAACGACACACGCAAGUACCGUUAGUAUCCUUUAUGACGAGGAUAAUGUUGUUAAACCUAAUCAAGAUUUAUCAGUACCCACGGAAUUUACCACACAGAGAUCUAAUCAUUUAGAUAAAUUUGCGAAAAAUUUUGCAGAUGAAUUACAAGAUUUUGAUUUUAAUAGUGACGAUGAUAUAAGUGAAUUUGUUAAACAUAAAUCUAAUAAGAAAAAUACGUCAGUACAUAAUUCAAAAGCGGAAGAGAGUUUGUUAUCUAUAACUCAAGCUAUUGGCGAGAUAGCACAAAUGAAAAGAAAUGUAGCAAAAUCACCAAGACUUUCUGUAAGCAAGAAGAUUGAGGAUGAUGAUGAUGCUGGCUGGAUUUCAGUCGAUAUCAAGUGUGAAACUCAGAAGCAGAAAUUCGGAAACAGAAAUACAAAUUCGAAAAUCAAGUUAUCGAAUAUUAAGCGCAAUUAUACUGCAAAAUCAUGCACUUUUGAACAGAAUUUCGAGCUUUUAGAUAAUUCCGAUGAAGAUUUCAGGAUUACAGAGGAUAACGCAAGGAAAUUUGAUGAGCUUGAAAGCAGCUAUUUCCGUAAUACGUCGAAAGAAUCGGAAGAUGGUAGCAGUUGUUUGCCUAGUACAUCCAGAAAAUAUACGAAAAUAAAUAGUUUUGUCGAUAUAUCGAACAACAUGAAACUGUGCGGCAUGUCAACGCCGAUUCAUAAACGUCCGGGAUUGUCUUUGAAAAGAAAUAAGAGCCAAUCGGAUGUGAUUGAUUUUAAAGUGCCUAGCAGAUGUAUGAACAAUACGAGAGAUAAGAAUAUCUUGGAAUCCAGUUCUAGUACGUCGAAGCAGAUGAUGCCCCCUUUGGAUAGAAAAAUUGCACAAAAGAAUAGGCACAAAAGAAACGAUAUGAAAAACAAAUUUAUAAAUGAUGAAGCGGAAGUAGACUGUGACUUUGUUAGUUCAGACGAAAGUAUCGAUGAUGAUGAUGAAAAUCUUGCAGAUUUCGUGAGCUAUACGCAAUAUUCGCAGGAUCAAGUCGAUAUGCACGCGCAUUAUCUACAAACCAUUAGGAGCCCAAUCAAGAGACCGGGCGUCUUUCAUUUCAGUAAACCACAGUCCACUGAUCCAAACGUAGAGAUCUUGUCAUUAUCUACAUCUUUGUCACAAGACUCGUAUGUUAAUGAUUCAUUUUGCGUUGCAGAAGACGCCGAGCCUAGCAUACUCGAUCAUAACGAUUCGAUAUUGGAAAGAGCCGAAAAGGAAUUGGAACGAAAUAGACGAAAACGUCUCUGUUUCGAUAAGAAUAUGAAGCGGACUAAAAAGAAGAAAACCAACAUCUUAAAUCAGUCAGUGAGUAGUGAGGAUGAUAUCGAACAAUUGCGCAUACAAGUUCAAGAAAACUGACCAAGAAUGGACAAUAUCCAAUCAAUCUGUGAUAUGUUAAUAAGUUAUAAAAUGCAAUAAGAUGAGAAAGAUAAAUUUUAAGAUGAUAAGCUAUAAAACAUGAAAUUUUUACACACAUUAUUCCCAUCGUGAAACUAGACGAGGAACUGUGGACAUCAGUAACGCAUGUCAGAACAUUCGACGAAGCUGAGUUACAGAUACCUAUCAAAUGCCUAAAACUCUGUCAGGUAUAUAAGGACUAAACACAAGAUCCUUACGUUAGUUUCUUCUUGCUCAACAAAGUUGUGGCGGUCUCUGAAGUUCCUUGAAGAUUGAAUUAAUCAUUAAAUAAUUGAGAAAAACAUUGUACUGCAAUUACAAUUCAAUCAAAAAUUUCGAGGCAUUUUUGAUACUUGUGAGAAAAGCUAAUUUUGGGAAGCAAGAGCAAAGAUGUAUCGUGCGGUGAUCAUCUUGGUUUUAAUCGGGGCAACGUAUGCUCGAACUACCGAAUAUUCGUUGGAUUUGUUGGAAUUACGAACCAAUUCAAUGCAAGAAGUGCAACGUGAAGAUACAAAAACAAACGGGCAAACAGUUGUGAAUGAUUCGACUUAUUUGCAAAAUAAUAAUCCUGCAUAUCAAAACCGUGACGUGGAUACCAAACAAUAUACGACACCGACAGAAUCUAGUAUCCAGACUGGUGUUGUGUCUACGAGGAAACCUUACCAAUGGCUUUUCGAAAACAUCGUUACUAAAUUAACAUUCGUCGCCAGAAGUUUGAUAACUCACCGUGCUUGUAUUGGCUUCUACUUCUUGUUUACAUUCUUUCCACUUAUUCUCAACUUGCUUUGCACACAUACAUCAAUAUGUCCCGCCUUCCUGGCAGAUAGGAUAAUAUCACCCUUGACGAAUGUUAACAAGUUAGCAGCGGAUUGUGAAAAGUUAAAUGCGGUCACUUCAACCAUUGACCGGGCAGUCGAAAAGUAUUCCACUAUGCAAGGCGAGUAGUCGAAUAUCAAAUAACAUACAUCAAAAAAGACAUUGAAGGACGGUAUGAAAUUUACUGAUGUAAUAAAAAAGGUGAAAGAAAGUUAUCUAGAGUUUGUAUUACUUUUGAUAGCACAUCAUCACCCAAAAUUCUUUAUUUUUACCACACUUUGCCUUUCAUGACAUUUGUCAAUGAUAUCAUUUGAAUAUUGGAAUUUUUCGUUCUUUACUAAAACUCGCGAAAUGUUUCCCCUGCGUAUACAUGCAUUAUCAUGCUUGACUAGAUUAUGCUAUCAGACUUGUUACACGUAGAAAACUCUGGGAAAUCUCAAAUCGGUGGAAAUACGGACGCGCUGUCAGUGUUACAUACAUUCCUUGCUUUGCGUCUGGCAUUUCAUAAAAAGUGUAAAAAACAUUAAGAAGCCAUAUUAGACAGAUAGGCGAUUAAUAAGAUAUUUAAUUAAAUAUUAAUCAUAGUGAAGAAAUAGAAUAUAUAUACAUAUAUGUAUAUAUAUUCCGUAUCAUAUUUUAUAAUAUGCCUACUUAAGUGAUGUCAUUGCGGUCUAACGUUUAACGAAGAAGAUUAAUUUUUUAUCCAGUUUAUUUUAAAUGAAACUUU